GUAAGGAAUAUUGGACAAUGGACGCAAGUCUGAUCCAGCCAUGCCGCGUGAAGGAUCAAGGUCCUCUGGAUUGUAAACUUCUUUUAUAAGGGACGAAAAAAGGCUUUUCUAAGUCGUCUGACGGUACCUUAUGAAUAAGCACCGGCUAACUCCGUGCCAGCAGCCGCGGUAAUACGGAGGGUGCAAGCGUUAUCCGGAUUCACUGGGUUUAAAGGGUGCGUAGGCGGGCAGGUAAGUCAGUGGUGAAAUCCUAGAGCUUAACUCUAGAACUGCCAUUGAUACUAUCUGUCUUGAAUAUUGUGGAGGUAAGCGGAAUAUGUCAUGUAGCGGUGAAAUGCUUAGAUAUGACAUAGAACACCUAUUGCGAAGGCAGCUUACUACGCAUAUAUUGACGCUGAGGCACGAAAGCGUGGGGAUCAAACAGGAUUAGAAACCCCAGUAGUCC
rnacentral:rRNA from 1 species